UAGAUCUGUGUUAAAAUCGACAGUAUUAAAAAUAUGUGGCAUAAGGUAACAUUAUAGCAUGUUCAGAGGCAAGUGUGUUAAAAGGCCAAUCACCAAUUUUAAGAAACACCAGUCCUCAUAAAAAUGUCUCGUCUCAUCUUGGACUGGGACUGAUAAGCAGGUUUAAUAAUGGUAUCAAUUAAUAACAGUUAACAAUCCCUCCACGAGUAUUUCCUCGGUGUAAAAGUGUUCAGUCUCAGUAAAUAUAUUGGAAAUCCAUGUCAACCUCCUGUCAAUAACUAUUUCUCCACAGCAAAACAACAGUCACUAUGUCACAAAUACAAUUUCUUUCUAAUCCAAUUCCACCCAAGAAAUGCAAUCAGAGAAGAACUGUGUAUGAAAUUGUUCAGACUUCUUCCUGCAGUUUUGCUCAUUAAUGCAGAGCUUUUGUUUUCAGGCUACAAUAUUAUUACUGCUGUGUGCAUGCAGUUUAAUUUCUUGAGUUGUUAAUGAAAGCUUCAAAGAAAUUUUGAGUGUCUUGGAAAACCAUGCCAGCAGAUAUUUGGCUGUAUUAUGCCAAACAUUGAUGUAUGAAAGUGAUUUCGCUCACAGCUAUGAGGGAUUUUUACAAGAGUUGUUCCUGUUUUUGUCAGCCUGUGCUGAAAGUUGUCAUCAUACUUGUCGUUGCUGUUAAACUGUAACAGUAGCAGCACUUGAGGAACAGGAGAAUGAGAGCGCAACGCUGGAAGGUUGAGAUGGAUUGAGCGAUAGAGAAAGGGACACCUUGGCUGAUAGGUGGGUGUAUAGAGAGGCUGAUGGAUGAAGUGCUGACCUUUGUGAAUGUCAGAAACCAUAGGUGUGUAAUCCUUGCUCUCACCUCAGGCCUUCAUUAUGGAGACAUUGCCUUUUAAAAGUGCCUGGAAAGUGUUUACAAAGAUGAGGAUGAAGACGAAGAACUGGAGCAAUGCCGUUUCCAUUACAGAUGAUCUUGUGAUUGAACAAAGUGCACCUCAGAAUAGGAUAAACUUGAAAGACUCAGCUUAGUUCCUUUACUGAGUUUUCAGAUGACAGUUUUUAACACACUGACCUUCAUGUUGCCCAAUUUGAAAGCCAUAACACUUCUUUUUCUGUAAAAAUGUUCAGUGUGAAAUACUGGAUAAUGCAUGGUUAUGCUGUUACUUGGCUAAAAGUAUCACCUCUGACAAAAGAAAGUCAUAUAGGCUUAAUUUUAAAUUUGUGGGAAUCUCCACCUCUACUUUUAGUACUGCUGUGAUGCCCCUGCACACACUAAGACCCAAACUGCAGUUUAAAAAAGCUGCUUCACAUUGGUUGAAGCUGAGUUUACAUCAAACUGGCCUAUCCAGGGAGGGUCAAAUAAUACGCCAAGGGGUAAGACAAAUACCAGGAACAGGCUGUAUUUAAAUUAGGUAGGGUAGGAUGCUUAAAUGCUAAGGUGUUGCAGUACAAUAGUAAAAAAAAACUGGCAAAUGACACCAAAUGUUAAUGACUUGGGGGGGAAAAAUGGCAUGAACAAGCAAUGUGCAUGUUUAAUCGACUAAAUGAUUAAAUGGGCAGAGGAUCAGUAUCAGCCCGAAUGAUUGUCAUUGAAAUAAAAUUAAUGGUGGGACAAAGAAGAGGACCAGACUGUAGUCCUUGGAAUCCAGGCCAUAUGUUCUGUCUAUGAACGAACUGGGAUUACAGCUCGAGUUAAGAACUACUGUCAUCAUGCUCUUAUCAUCUAAAUCAGCACAGGAGCAAAUAAGCACAUAUGAAAGAUGGCGUUUUGUAGUGCCACACCUAAAUGUUGACUGUUGUGACUGAUUGAUUGAACUGGCAUGUUGGCGCUAAACAGGAGCAAUGCAUAUGGGGACAUAAACCUGCAAAGAUAACUUAAGGCUGGUGGUGAUAGAUCUGCUAAUGCUAGCAGGGGUGUCCCAAUACAACUUUUUUACUUUGAAUACAAUACCGAUAUUGCAGCUUUCAGUAUCGGCCGAUACCGAUAAAGAUCCGAUAUUGGCACAAACUUGUGCAUGACAAGUUUUGCACUCAGCUGCAAUGUAUUUUUCGGAAUUUCGAAAAAUACCGCCACACAGCCGACAUCACUCCUACUCCUUGCUACUUUGUUACUACCUUAGUACACACUGUUGUUGUGAUCACGUGGGCUCUGCAUGCUGGAUCCGGGCGCUGCUAGCUAGAGGUACCGGGGAUGGAGUCUGGAAUGGACUGCUUGUUUUGGAGUGCUGAUAUCAGAGAUUUUAGAUUCAGGCCAAUAUAAUCCAAUGUUUGUUUUUUUUUGGCUGAUAUCAGACUGAUAUCCGAUAUCAAUAUCGUAUCAGGACAGCCCUAAAUGCUAUCCAGCAGACGAGUUUGGUAUUGUUCACCUACAGACUCUAUGAUCCCGUAUUUGGCCAUGGUAAACCCACUGCGCUCAAUAUUGACUCUUUUGAGUGUUUACAUGUGUUUAAAAUGCUUGUUUUGCUGUAAUUUAAAUAGUUAUUUAACAAAAAAUGUAAAUUAACUGCUCAGAAAAUCCCUAACAUUAACAAACCGCAGCAUCAAUGACUGACAAAACAGCACACUAGCUUCGCACAAAGCAUCACACUGUACUCUGUCUUUAUUGUGUAUCACUGAGACACCUUCAACAUUGGGAUUGGACCAAAUGGACAUACUACUAGUCUGAGAUUCGUUCUUUUCUGUUAUGAGCAAGUUAUCCCAAAACUCCAUUACUUGUAAUUCCUGCCAAAAUUUGAUGAUGGAUUUCUCUUCAUUUAUAAAUAAGCUUCUGCAAAAGCUUUUAAAGUGUUUUGCUCAUGUAGUUUUUCCCUCCGCUGUUAAAUCUUGAGAUAACCAACGAUUGCUGAAAUACUUUUUUUGAUGUGAAGGUCCUGUAAAUGAUAAAAAUGCUGAACAUGAAAACCUGCCGUGUACAAUAACACCGGGGACAGUUUAAGCAUAUUAGCUGCCAAUUUUCCUUCUGUUUCAGGGGUAUAAGGCUCUUUGUCUCAGUGUGUCUCACCUGGUGAUAAACCUGUUAUCUUUGCCUCCCUGCCCUGCCUCUGGCCCGCUCUCCUCCACACUUUGGCCGACCGAUCAGACAGUCAGCCCCGUCGGAGUCAGUCAGGGACUCAGAGAGCCGUGCUAAAGGGACAUGGUGACUGUCACUUCAAAUCAUGCAGUGAAUAGAAAGAUGCCGUUUCCUUUUGUAGUGGAAGCCCUGGGUAAGAAAUGAUGAAUCAUUCCCAUGCUGCUUGCAAAUUUUUUAAGCAUUUUUCCAACUAGGGCAAAUUCUGUGAGCUCAUUUUCAAAAGCAUCAGAUGUGACCACAAACUUUUGGCGCCCACUCAGUGCUCGCUUUAGCAGCUCACAAUACUGCGGAUAUGUGAGUAAAGCAAGUAGAUGAUAUAGUCUCUCAUAAGGUUUAAUUAAUGCAAUAGAAAGACAGGCUAAUGGAGACAAAUGGGACUUAACCAAUCUAAUGAAUUUCCCUUCAGCGAGACAUUUAUAUAUUUAUCUAUUUCUCUCAUUAUCAUUCAUUAUAUAAACAGGACAGCCUCUGUCAAUUAGUUAUGAGUGCUUUUCCCUAUUAAAAUUGUUCAACAAGGGUUAUUUUUAACAGCAGGAAACAACAAAUCUUUCGACUUUAAAAUGCUAAAUUAGUGAUUCCUCUAAAAUGUAUUAACUCCAUUUUGUGCUACAUGUCUGGGGCAUGUUUUCCUUGCUGAUAUUUUGGACCCACAGUAAUGUGAAGCAUUUACACCAGACAGCCACAACAUCAUGAUCACCUUCCUGUUGUGUAGACCUCCUUAGUUGAGGGGUUUGGCUAGGGCUGGAAGAUACAGCCUCAAAUCAGUAUCACAAUAUAUUGAGCAGUUCACCUCAAUAACAAUAAAUGGAUGAUAACUACUUAACAAGCUGCUCACCCCCUCCCACAUUAACUUUGUUACAACUAAUUCUGCUAUAACUUUUGAACAGUCCUCCAUCUCUUCAUCUGUCUUUCCCUCUUUGUUACGGACCAGAUGGGGAGGAGUCAUGUAGCACAGCGUCUUAAAGUGACAUAACACCAUAGCCUACCUACACACCUCCAAAACCAACUUUUAUGUAUUUAUUUUUUUGACACCAAAUAUAUUGACAUGGGCAAAAUGACGUUGCUUAUUGUCGUAAAUUUCGGUUUAGGUCAGGGCUGCAGGAUAUUGGAAAAAAUUUACUUUUAAAUGUUUUUCAACCCUGCGAUAUGAGAUAUUAAAAAAUACAGGAAUUUUCUCCAGAUGACAUGAAUCGCACUGUCUGUCUUCGAGAUAUUUUCAGUUUGCUUUUAUUGUGCUGGGACUAGUUAUCUCUCGUUGUGGCAACAGCUGAAAGGCACUGCCGACACAGACCACGUGUUUGGUCGACCUCAUCCUUCUUGUAUCCGAAAUAAUUCCAGAUAACUGACAUUGCUUCUCUUUUUGGCAACAAGUCUUAAUUUUUCAGUGGUUUUUGUUCAUUUCUCAUUUUGCAAUCGUUGCUGUUGUCACGGGUGUUGUGCUGACAAACGCAUGCCUGCCGAGAAUUGCAUGCACCUCUCUGAAAUGCGCACCGCUUAUCGUAGAGUGGUCCACGGAAAUGUACAAUUUAAAACCCGUACAAUUCGUAUUUGUGGGGCUAAAUAGUGAUGAGUAAUGUUCUGAAAGUAAUUCUCAGCGGGUAUGCAUUUCUCGGCACAAUACCGGCAGUGCCAGUGACUCACUCCAUGUGCACGAGUGUGGUUUCCUUCUCUCUGAUUUUGAUUGAUGGCUGGCAGGGUAGCAACUAAGUAAAGAAUGAAUACGAUUGGUGGAUCGCUGAACAGCACAUGCAGAGUCACAUGCAGUUUAUGUCAGUCAGCUACCCUUCAAAUUAGAUGAGUUCAUUCGCCUCCGACACCGCAGGCUCUGCAGUGUGACUAUCGCGUACACGUGCAUCGCGAUGUCGAUGCUCAAACGAUAUAUUGUGCAAAUUUCCGAUUAUCACCCAGCCCUAGGUUUGUCCCCUUCACACUGGCAUUUGGUAGACCUCUAAAAGUUUUGGCACACAUGUAAUAACUCCAAGGUUCAAAGUAGUUAUAAUAGUUACAUUUUGUCCUGAUUGUGAGAGGGGAAAACAAAGGUGCGGGUGAGUCCUUAUGUUUCUCUAUGUGGGGCAACAUAAUUGGGUACAAAAGCAGCAGAUUAGACGAUUUGAUGCUUUAUUGCUUCCAAAGGCCUAUUCCCCAAAUAUGAUACAUCCUCUGACUGAAACGUCUGAUCUUUUGUCCAAGAUUUCCUGUAAAAGCCUGAAUCACUUACAGCCUCCCCUUCAUGUUGACCACACAAAGCAGAAGAGCUGCUCUGUUUCUCUACCAAGGCCAAAUAUGUUAACAAGGCAGCAGACUCCAACACUCUGGGACCUUCUCCAAAACCGCUCUUGGUGCCUCUCCAAUGUUUGGCUGCAUAUGUACUGUAUAUGAUUGCCUGGGCUCACAGGUGGCAGAGAGGAGACAGAUGUUGUACCUUUGUUUCCCCGCUUGUUAAAUGUGUCUCCCAUGAGGUUCUUUUUUGUCACCGGGCCAUAUCAAUAAAAGAGUGUGCACCAACAUCCACUUUCACACAUUUUCUUUCUGCUUUUAGCUUCUUUUGCUCUCCCCCUCCAGCCAUUUCCAUUCCCACAGACCGUAUAAGUGCUUCUGUUUCCCUCGGUGGUGAGUGUGUGGGCACAGACAGACAUGAGUCACCUAAUUUGAUCAAACAGCAUCUUUCAAAAAAAAAAAAAAAAACAGACAAAACAUGAUGACACCAGCGGAUCUUUUCUCUGUGCAUUCCUCCUUGAUGGAAAUCAGGGUGAUGCAAAAUCCAGCGCUCAUUGUGAUUAUAAUGAGGCAUACUUUUGAGGUAUAGAACAAUUUGUGGAUGUAGAGUCUUUUCUGAUUUCAUCACUUGAGAUAAUUGUGACUGAUUUUAUUACAAUUUCAAGAGUUUGUUUAGGAUCUUAACCCCUGAGAAACCAAGCGAGUUUUUUUUCCAGAUAUGUUUUUGAAGAGAAAAACAAGCAGAAUAUGGCUCCCUAGCAGAAAUUAAUUUGAGCUUGCACUGGCCUAUCAUGGCUAAGCUUAAGUGUGCUUUUUCCUGUCUCUCCUCUUCCAUUUUUCAUGCCUUCCCUCUUUUGCAUUCUAACCUUAACUUUUCUCCCCUCGAGCUCCUCUUUUUUUAAUCCUCCAGCAAACCUCCCUCUCUCUCUCCCUCUCUCUUGCGCCUUAUUUUCUCCACACUCUCGCCUCACUUCACCCCUGCUUUACAUUUCUUCUCCUCUAGCUAGCUCAUAUCUCUGUGUCUUGCUGUUCUCUCCUCAUCCUCGGAGUGAUGUAAGGCUGCUACAGGUGCUGUCUUCAGAGGGCUGAGCGAGACAAACAACCGGGACUAAAGAUGUUUUGUUUUAUGUCAUUAUAUCAGAGUUUCUAUGUCCUUGUUUUAUCCCGUUAAGUAGGCUGUAAUGGUUAAGUGAAGCCAUCUCUUCAGCCUCUCUCGCUACAAGCCUGAGUUCUUUGAUAGUCUUUUCUGCUCUCCCCUGGAAAAAAAAAAGAAACUGAAGAUGUUUUUUUUUCUUCUUUUCCCUAUCAACUGGCUUGAAAUUCUUAAGCUCCUUCAAAACAUCUUUCUUUGUGUAUAACCCGGCUCACCUCAUGUCUCCCGCCUCUCCCUAUAAGCAAGGUUUGCCACCCACAAGUUCACCAUCAAUUACUUAGUAAGAGUAAAGGUGUGGGUGAGCAGAAGUCUGAACACACAUCGAGAGCUAGAGACUACUUUCACAGAGUUUCUCUUAUAUUGCAUAUAAUUUUAGGGUUGGUAACAGGAUAGAUCCAACUGUAUGCUGCACACAGUUUGCAGUUUUGCACCCAUACUUGUGUGGAUGCAAGAAUCUGCAAUGUAAGGUAAAUGUCCGUAAUUAAAUUCAGACAUUGGUGUAUCUUGUCCUGGAUUGAUCUGUAGACAUCCUCUUGUCCAUCUUCUCUUUCAAGCUUGGUUGUUUUUUAUCCAUCCUGCUACAUGCUGCUCCCCUGACUCUCGCGGAAAAACAUUUUCCCCAAAGGUCUCUGAAAAUUUUCACUGUUUGUGUUUUUCAAAAGAUUUUGAUUAGUGUUUCACUCCUGACAGUUGUUCAAACCCUUGAAAUUAUAACUGACCUUCUCAGGAAUUAUAGCACAACAAAGCCAAAACAAUUAUUGAAAAUUUGGAUUUGAUUUAUAUUUUGGAGUGUAGCUGACCUGUCACGCAGACAAAGGAAGCAAAAAGCGAUAUUAGCACCACAAUGGAGUGGACAGCUCCACCUCAGAAAAACCAACACAACACUAUUUACUGGUUUACUGUAAUAAUGGUAACACUUAAUGUGACGCCUAUCAUUAUAAAUAUAUGUAUAAUGUGUUAUAACCAUGUUAUAGCACUUUAUAACUAUAGUUAUAAACACUCAUAAAUAAUCAUAAUGCUUUACAUGCUUUAAUACAUUAUAAUACUUGAUCUUGUAAGUCAUGAUAUAAUGCUUUACAGUGUGUUAUGAUUAUUGCUAUAAAGCAUUAUGAUCAUUUAUGAGUGUUUAUAAAUAUAGUUAUACAGUGCUAUAAUGUAGUGAUGCACGAUAUGAAAAAUUUCAACCGAUACCGAUAACCGAUAAUUUUCUUCUUCUCAUGGCCGAUACCGAUAACCCAUAAAUUCAUAUUUUUACAUUUAUUAUAAUCUUCAUAUAAUCUGCAGUUUGUGCAGGAUGCAGUGAUUGAAAACUGAUAUUUUUGUUGCUCUGGCCUAUCUAGAACAACAAACUAAAGUUUUUGGCUCUUCAAAUGUUUAUUUUUUCCAUGUCAUCACAAAAAUAUGUGGUCAUUAGCUAUAAAUAACAAUAACAGAGCAAAAAGCAGAACUUCAUUUGACCAAAACAGUGCAUCCCCUGAACUGUUCAACAGAACUGUAGACUGUAAAGGAGCUAUUAUGAGACGUUAGGAUUAGCAUGCUGACCGGACUAACAUCUGACGUCCAUAUGUCUGUGGUAAAACUCACGUGUAGUCCGUUGUUGUCGAUCAGGUUGUGAAUGUAUGUGGCGACAAUAUCAUAGAGUGCAGGAAGGGACACAUCCGAGAAGAAGCGGCGGCUUGGGAGAGUGUAACGUGGCUCCAAGUGUGCUAAUAACUUACGAAAACCCGGGUUCUCAACGACGGAAAAAGGCUGGUCGUCGACCGCUAUGAACUCCAUCACUUUGUCGUUAAUGGCCUUAGCCUUUUCGCUGUCUCUUGAGAAGCUUUUGCAGUUUUCAAACGCCUGCUGAAUGGGGACAUUGAUCCUCCGUAGUGUUGUUGUCUUAGCUUUAGUACCGCUAGCAGCUUCGGCGGCUGUCUCAUAGUCUUUUAAUACUGCUUCGCCGCGAUGGCGACUUUUCAGAUGAGCUAUCAGAUUCGUUGUGUUAAAACUUGACGUCUUCAUUCCGCCUCCCGGAAUCCUCGCUGAACAGGUUUUGCAUAUAGCAGCUGUUGUCAUCUUCUGCCACUGAGAAAAACGACCAUGCUGGUGAAGACAUUUUAUUAUCAGUCAGGUAGUGACAGGGGUCAGGCUUGGGACCUGCGAGUAAGGCGCAACGGGCGGCUACUCCGCCUGCAAACGUUACUCGUAAUUUCAAUAAUAUAUCGGCUCUUUCUAUCGGAAAAAAGGCACCUAUCGGACCGAUAAAAAAUGACGUAAUUUUCCCUCAAAUCGGCCGAUAUUCUAUCGGUCCGAUAAAUAUCGUGCAUCCCUACUAUAAUGUGAUUAUAACACAUUAUACAUACAGUAUAUUUAUAAUGCGUUAUAGAGAUAAGCAUCAAAUAAAGUGUUACCGUACUAUUAAACAACCUGAUAGGGGAAAAUGGGUUUUCCAGAAUAAGGUCACAUAAUUACAGCAUUAAAUUUGUAAGAUUAUGAGAAAAAAGAGGAUUUACUCAGAGUUCAGCCUGAAGGGGAAAAUCAGAAAGGCACCCAGCCUUCACAGCUAAUAUGAGGAUUAUGAAGCGUCUUGUUAAGUUCAACUUUUGUAAAGGUUUCCCUAAAAAAAAAAAAAUGCUUAAUGCUAAAUCUGUCAGUGCAACAGUAUUACUCUAAGAAUCAAGGUUUUGUGUAAAUUGAGGGAGUUUAAUAUGAAGAUGAGCAGGCUAAUUGACAGCCUGUGAACACCUGUGCAACCGCUCUUUGUCCCCAGCUGUUGAGUUUGAUUUCACAAGAUCCCCCUUAAUUUACAUAGAUUAGCCAUAGCUUCUAAUUUCUCACCACUUAAUUAUCAUUAACUUUCACCUCUUCACGUUUAUUCUGGAAAUCUCAUUUCCUUACAUUUAGUGUGGCCAUAAUCCUCCAUCAAAGCUGUGGGCUAAAGCAACAGUAACCCAAAAAAGGACCUGCUAUAUGACCCGAAAGAUGGCAGCUACAGCAAAACAUUCAUAUGACUGAAACCUAUGAUUAUGUAUGUUAAAGCAGCCAGUGUGGUAGAUUAUCAACAUAAUGUCAGUGUUUUUAAAUGCUGAAUGAAAUGAGUCGUGUCUGGGCUCUAAACUGAAGAGUUUGUGGUACAGAACUUGCUGGAGUCAAGAUGUUAAAAAGCCUUGUAGGGCACAUCUAGAGAUUCAAGGUAACAGAAUGGCUUUGAGAGAAAAAGUGUGUAACUACAUGCCCUAAAACCCUGCUUCCAUCUUUCUCAAGUGUCCUUCACAAAGAACAUGAAAUCCCCUCUAACUUUGUGCUCUGUGUCCUGCUGCGAUCCAACCUCUGUGUGUUCCCUUCAAGAUCAAUAAAGAAUCGCCUCGGUUUCUCAUCCUAUAGAAAGUGAACGCUUUCCAGGUGCCAGUGCGGGCUCGAGCAAGGGGAAUAAAAGCUGCUGGAAGAUUCCUGAUCAGAUAUAAGAGCAGAAUAGAGAACCAGGAGAGCCAAAGCAACCAUAAAAAAAAAAAAAUCUCAGUUACAGCUGAGAGAAGACACGGUUUUGAACUGGAGUACAAUCAAGUCUCUGGUGAGGUUGAAUGGAGAACAGUGGUUCCAAACCAUCGCCUGAGGAGACCCCUGUGAGAUGAGUAUAAUCAGUGAUGCUGCAAAAGUUUGUAAGAGUGGUAGAGGGUCAUGGUUGGGAAUGAGUGUUUGGGAUGUCACCAACCUUUUCCCUUUAAACUAGCUGAUAAAAUUCUCAUUGGUAUCUUGUAUCUUGAAGACCCAAUUCUUCACCACUUUAAAGCAUCAUAAACUUUCCGGCUGUUUUUUUAACCUCCCUUUCUUGAAUGUUUAUUACCUACAGAUUGGAUCAGUGUAAGGCCUUGUAAGAGGAUACAGCAGAAAUUUAGGUGUUUGGAAAAAAACAUGAAUGGAGUCGUAAGGUGAAAUAGAAAAAUUUCGACACUUCCAGUCCACUCACCAUAAGAGGCUUUGGAGCAUAAAAAUACAUUUUCAGUCCUUUUUCCUCUUUCUUUGUACAAUGUAAUAUCACUUCAAGGGUUGUAUAUGUCCAAAUGGCAUAUUUUCAGGGACUUGUCAGAAAGUUUUCAGAAUACUUAAACGAUACAGCAUAAAAGAGAGGCAACAUUUUAUCAACACAGUCAAAGAAGCUAAAAAAAGGUCUGUAAAGUGGAGAAAUUAAAGAUAAAAGAUGCAGGUAAACAAGUGAAACAAUUCAGUAAAUGUUUAUAAAGAGUGUUUACGUAGUGCUAAGGAACAUUUUUUUUUGCAAUUUUGCUUGAGAGCAUUGCCGAGGGCAGAUCUGCCUUAUUAAAGAUAUAGAAAAGAGAAUAUGUGUUUAUACUUGAACUUCAAGACUUGGCAGCUGUUUUGGAGCAUAAUGAUAAAUGUGGAUAAGUUUGUAUGUAUUUCUGAGUGAAAGAACAUUUAAAUAGUAUUACAAAAGACACCUUAUCACCACAUGCCAGUGGUAAGUUGUGACAAAACACUCACAAUACAUUAGGACUUUGUCUCGAUUCAGGGACUGCUAAAUCCUUUCAGGAUGUUGACUAGAAACUGCAGAUAGCUAUGACAUUAACCAGACAUCAGAAUAGCCAAACUUCUCUGAAAUAGCAUCCUUUGAAAGGAGAUAAGCUGAGAAACAGCGUGGCAGUUGAAAAAUUAAGCCUUUCAUAAUUGCAUACAUCUGUGCUAAGUCUCUAUUAUAAAGCACAGGGUAUGAAAUGCCACUAAUUUAAAGCAGUUGAAGAGAGAGUGACUACCUGCUCAAUAUACGCUUAAGUUGUGCUCCGAGCAAUUACAGUGGCAGCUGUUUUUAAGCCAUCUCAAAGAGUCAGAUAUAUAAAGGCAGACAAGUGUACCAGGGAGAAGUGAGGAAUUAAAUGUUCAAAUAAACAGCAAAAUUAUAAGUUCUCCCGAACUGUCAGAACAUAAAGUAACAACACUGCCCCUGGGAGGCCGUGUUUGUGUGCUAUUUUCAGAGAACGGAAAGGGCAAUAUCUUUAUCUGAAGCUCGGGUGGACUUGUGGAUUUGGACUUCAAAUUCUGACGGGGCAGUUGUGCUUUUAUUUUUGUCGUCUUGUCUGUUUUUGGCACAGGCUAAGCUUUGAGCUCAGGCCUCAAUAACACACUAGACUUAAAGGUUCAUGGACUGUCCUGAGGGGCCCUCUGACAGGGUUUAGGGGGAAGAGGGGGGUGGUGAGAUGGAGGGAGCGAGGGAAGGGCGAUAGGAGACCAGACUGACACCAGUGGCUGAUAGCUAGACUGAAAAACCUCUGACUCCUUCCUUACCUGAAACACACACACAUGCACAGUAUGUGCACACAAAGGGGGCUGAAAGAAGGACAAAGCCUGAGGGUCUCAGUAGGGAAUCAAUCCUUGGGAAGAUGGAUUUCAAAGUGGAGGCACCUUGCUCCUUUUCUACCUUUCCUUUCCUUAUCUCCUUCUCUUUUUUUAUCCCUCUCUCACUUUCACUGCAAGGUGAAAAAAAUAACCUGCUGCAAUCAGGAAAAAUGUCAGCUUCACACACAGAUGCAUGGAUAUGCACCACCUGCAGAGAGCAAGUGCUCACCUGCACUUAUGCUCUCUCUUUAGUUUGUAAUGACCACUAACAGCAUUACAGUAAUGGAUAGGGCCAGCAAUUUCCAAGGUACCAAUUUUAGCUUUUGCGCCUUCCAUGUUAAAAAUAACAAACACCGUACGACCUGUUGUGUUUUUCAAAUGAAACAGCCUUUUUCAUCACUGUAACCUUUAACACAGUUAAAUCAGAUGCAGUCAUUUGACUUCACCUUGGCCUCUUCACUGCCGUUUGCUCAGCAGUCAUGGCUCUUUCACGAGCAGGUGAAGAAACUCGUGAUCAGAAUGAGGUUCAAUUUUGUUACUGAUAAAAUCUGUUUAUUCAUUAGAAACCAAAGAAGCCAAGAGUGCUUGUGGUGCAUAUCAGACUCUCAGAUUUUCCAGGCAGAGAGUGGCAGGUGAGCAGCUGUACCCAAUAACUUAAAAUAGGAUUUCUUCAAAUCACAACUUGUCUUCUUCUCUUUGAGUGAGACCAACAUCAGUCUUGUUGAAGAUUAGGGAUGUGACAAAAAUCUGUGCCAGGAGACCUAUAUAAAAUGUUCUUCCUUGAGCUGCGUCACCCCACUGCAGUUGGUGAUGGAUUGGUCCAAGGUCUCCAUACAAAGAAGCGGCUGAUGGAAGAGAGUGGGUGUGUUGUUUUUAGCCUUUUUGCUAAAGAAAUCAGGCAAAGUUAAUAAGAUGUUUGGUGGCUUGUACUAUGGCUGGGACCCUAUAUGUACUGUUGAUGAAGUUAGGUGCUGUUCUGAGCAUUAUUUGUGGCUAUAGAGUGGUGUUUUGGUUGAGGUUUGUGUGUGGCUCCUCAGACCACUGUGUAUUGCUAUUCUGUGGUCGUUACUAAAGUUGGUAUAACUAGAGAAGCAAGCGGUUGGCAACAUUCAUCUCUUAAGGGGGUGUCUAACUUGGUGUUACAGUGUGCUUGACCCUAACUUAAUUUAACGCCGGAAUAUCCCUUUAAGACUUAUUGGAGUGAAAAGUUGUCUCACAAGAUCAGUACACCAUUUCUGAAGACAGCACUCUGUGAAAAUGGUCAUUUUUAACUGCAAUAACAGUAUUAAACCAACAUGGUGGUAACUCCGACCAUACUGCCAAAGAAGAAGAAAAUGGAGUUUGCUGCAGAGAGCAUCUAAUUUAUGCGACGAAAUAUGGAAGUUGUGGACAAAAUGAUACACUGAUCCCCAGAAGCUGGUCCAACCUCCAAUUUACUGUAUUUAUGUCAUUACCCCAGUAAGAGCAUUCCCAAUAAACACAUUGCAGAAGUCGGCAUUCAUCCCAAUAAAUCUACAACUAUAAUUGAGCUAACAAGCACUGCUUCCUCCCACAGCAUGUGUGCAUUUUGCCACUUUGAUGGAGGUUUUGUGUUACUGUCUAUGCUUCACAGCAGGGGUGUGCAGAAGCAACACAUUUCAUGUGUGUAAACGGAAAUUUCAACUCUGACAAACCAACUUUUCUGAGAAAAAACAAAAACAUGUUGGAAAGAAUCUAAAUUGAGCACAGUUUGUUUGACAUGGAUGAAUCCUGAAUCAAUGGGACUGCAGGUAAACAAUGUCAAAUUGGUUUACGGAGAGUAGCUCAUGUUGGCAGAGCUAUAGGUGCUACUGUGUAUAUAUUAAUUCUCAUUCAGACAACAUUUCUGUGUUCCUUCUAGGAUCUCUGGCUCUAUCUCAGUCUAAAGACAAGAUUUUUAGAUUAUCAGUGACCCUAAAUUUCCCAUAGCAUGAUUGCAAGUGUUCCCAGAUUGUUACCACGAUAUUAAAUAUUGUAAUUGCUCAUCUAAUAUUUUUCAUUUCAGUCUUACAUUUCUGUUAGUACAUUGGUACAGCUGUCAUGAAAUUUAAAGUUAGCUAAAACAACAAGAUAGAAAUAUGUUCAGUUUUGCUCCAAGGUUUUUCUUGGGUCUUUAUGAAGAUUGACUGCUUUAGAGACAGCUUCCAGUGGCCACUUAAGGAACUGCAGUUUUUUUUUGUACGUAUCAGUGGCUUCAUUUCUCAAGUGUUUAAAGUCCUGCUCAGAUCGGGGUUUUUUUGUUUGUUUGUUUGUUUUUACUACUUGAAUUGUUCUCAGUGGUCUUUCAAUUGUGAUCAUGAAGUUUUAACCAAAAAUCAUGUGACCUGUGUCGUUUUCGAGGGCUCAUAGUAGCUCAUUAGCAAUUGCCUCUGAGUCGUGGGCGGAGAAACCGCUUGGAUUGGUUACGUAUGAUAUGUCACUGUUUCUGAACCUUUAGUUUGAGUCUGCCGGAGAUUCACAGCGACUUGAAUGAAGAAAUACCCAGGAAAGUAAUUUCACAUUUAGUUUUCUCAUGGUAUGUCCUCUAGCAUCAGAAAAAAUGCCAUAUGAACAUAUAAAAAAAAACAAGAAAAACACAAUUUUCAUCGGAAUG